rnacentral:lncRNA from 1 species
CUGUAAUUUAGGAGUACUACGGUAAUUAUAUAUUAUAUAUAAGGACUAGGCUAAAAUACUACCAAUAGCAUUAAAUAAUUUGUGCUAUUAGUUUUUUAGCUAUUGGAUUGAGAAAUGUGUGGUUAGGAUGAUGUGGGCCUCAAAGGAUUGAGUGAGUGGUUGGUUAAAUAGUAUAAUCUAAAGGAUAAAAAUAAUCAAAUGGUUAAAUCUAGUGGUGGAAAACUCGAUAGCACCAAGUUAAUGUUAUCGAUAAUAUCCCAGCCGGACUCUUGUAUAUAAUAUAUAUUCUAGUAUAAUAUAUUUAAAAUGCAUGUGUCGAUGAUUAAAAGAAGGGUUUUUUUUGCAAUUAGUUUCCUGAAAAAAAUUUAUUUUAAAAAUAGCCCCAGCAAAUUUUGUAAAAAGGGCCUUGACCCUGCCACGCAGGCGCCACGUCAGCGCCAUGCGGGCCAGGCUGGAUCAGAUAGUUAAGUUAAUUCACCAUGUUUAAACACAGUGAAUCAUUCACCGUGUCUAAACACGGUGAAUGAUUCACCAUGUCUGGGAAAAGAAAAGGGAAAGAAAAAAUAUACAUAUUAUAAAAAAAAUAAGUAUGGAAUACGGUUUGAACACGGUGAAUCAUUCACUAUGUUCAACAUAACGCCCCAAUCCGUCCACGUGGCGCUGAUGUAGCGUCUGCAUGGUAAAGUCAGGGUUAUUUAUAUAAAUUUAAAUUUGUUGAAGUUAUUUUUAAAAUAAAUUUUUUCAGAUAACUAAUUG